CAGUCGCCACGGUAAUACGAAGGGGGCUAGCGUUGUUCGGAAUUACUGGGCGUAAAGGGCGCGUAGGCGGCCAUUCAAGUUAGAUGUGAAAGCCCUGGGCUCAACCUAGGAAUUGCAUUUGAUACUGUUUGGCUUGAGUUCGGGAGAGGUGAGUGGAAUUCUCAGUGUAGAGGUGAAAUUCGUAGAUAUUGGGAAGAACACCAGUGGCGAAGGCGGCUCACUGGACCGACACUGACGCUGAGGCGCGAAAGCGUGGGGAGCAAACAGGAUUAGAUACCCGCGUAGUCCCUGUCUCUUAUAU
rnacentral:rRNA from 1 species